ACGGUAGACUACUUUCGGGUUGUUGAGAGUGGCGCACGGGUGCCUUACGCGUAUGCAACCUACCUUGUACAGGGGGAUAGCCCGGAGAAAUUCGGAUUAAUACCCCAUAGCAUUACCAGAUGGCAUCUGAAGGUAAUUAAAGAUUUAUCGGUACAAGAUGGGCAUGCGUGACAUUAGUUAGUUGGUAGGGUAACGGCCUACCAAGACUAUGAUGUCUAGGGGUUCUGAGAGGAUGAUCCCCCACACUGGUACUGAGAUACGGACCAGACUCCUACGGGAGGCAGCAGUAGGGAAUAUUGGUCAACGGGCGAGAGCCUGAACCAGCCAUGCCGCGUGCAGGAAGACGGCCUUCUGGGUUGUAAACUGCUUUUAUACGGGAAGAAAAGACCCUUGCGAGGGAGAUUGCCGGUACCGUAUGAAUAAGCACCGGCUAACUCCGUGCCAGCAGCCGCGGUAAUACGGAGGGUGCAAGCGUUGUCCGGAUUUAUUGGGUUUAAAGGGUGCGUAGGCGGGCCUUUAAGUCAGUGGUGAAAGCCUGCAGCUUAACUGUAGAACUGCCAUUGAUACUGGAGGCCCUGAGUGUACUAGAGGUAGGCGGAAUUUAUGGUGUAGCGGUGAAAUGCAUAGAUACCAUAAAGAACACCGAUAGCGUAGGCAGCUUACUGGAGUACAACUGACGCUGAGGCACGAAAGCAUGGGGAGCGAACAGGAUUAGAUACCCUGGUAGUCCAUGCCGUAAACGAUGAUUACUCGAUGUUGGCGAUACACUGUCAGCGUCCAAGCGAAAGCGUUAAGUAAUCCACCUGGGGAGGACGCUCCCA
rnacentral:rRNA from 1 species